UAAAAAAAAAAAAAAAAGCGGUUUCUUAAAUUAUUCCAUCAAUUUGUAAGCAAGCGAAUCCAAGCUGAGAAAGCUAAGUCUCAAACAGACAUCUAAUCUUUAUUUUCCUUCUUUCUUGCUUUAAACACUCUAGCUCUCCAAUUUAUUCGGUCAAUUUUCCUCAGGAUACUCCCACUUUCAAGAAAGGCUGGAUUUUCAAGUGCUACAGCGGGCAUGACCCUAUUGAUUUUCAGAAACUAUCGGGAUUGAAUCAUGUUACUUGCUUUCAGAGGUUGCUUUUGCUUAAAGAGAUCUAAAAAAACACCCGGAUAUGAAGAACCCACUGUUCUUGCAGCUGAAACACCUUUUACAGUUAAUGAAGUAGAGGCCUUGUAUGAGCUUUUUAAGAAAUUAAGCAAUUCAAUAAUUAAUGAUGGGCUUAUUCAUAAGGAAGAAUUUCAGCUUGCACUCUUCCAGAACACAAAUAAAAGGAAUCUCUUUGCAGACAGGAUCUUUGAUUUGUUUGAUAUCAAGUGCAAUGGAGUAAUUGAAUUUGGAGAAUUUGUUCGAUCAUUGGGCAUCUUUCAUCCCAAUGCUCCUGUGGAAGACAAGAUAGGGUUUGCUUUCAGAUUAUAUGACCUAAGGCAAACUGGUUGUAUCGAACGAGAUGAGUUGAAGGAAAUGGUGUUGGCACUUCUGAAUGAAUCAGAGUUGGUUCUGUCAGAUGAUGUCAUUGAGAUGAUUGUAGAUAAGACUUGGAAGGAUGCAGACACAAAUUGUGAUGGGAAAAUUGAUCUGGAAGAGUGGAAGGAUUUUGUGUCAAAAAAUCCAUCUCUUUUGAAGAACAUGACUCUACCAUAUUUAAAGGAUAUAACAAUGGCAUUUCCCAGCUUUGUGCAAUAUUCUGAAAUUGAAGAUUCAGAAGUCUAAGUCUUGGAAAGGUUCUUAAAUCAUUAUGAUGGUGUGCGUGGUAGUCUAAUGAGCGUAAAUGCGUGGACUAGAAAACUUGAGUUUAGAUGAUCCUCUCCCUCACCAACAACUUAAUGGGGCCAAGAUCCAGUCUACAUGUCAACUUCUCAACAUGUUCUUCCAAUGGGAGCAUGGUAAAGAUUAGAUAAGCUCGUACAUUCCAUAAAAGUUGGCGAAAUUUUGUUCCUUAUUAGAAGCAGAAACCAGUGAAUAGUGUGAACUACAAUGUGAGGCUGGAGCAGAGCAGACAGUGAUAGUGCAUGAAAAGGAAGAAUGAAAAAGCUCUAUGCUUAAAAACCUACUUACAGUCUGAUCUGUAAGGGGUUCCAGAAUCUGUAUGGAUUUAAGGAGAAAGAGAUUUGGAUAAUGGGAGGUUUAGAGAAAAGUAUGUUUUCUGUUCUGCCCCACAAGAGAAAACAAUUGAAAGCAACCUCUUUUUUGCUUUUUCUGAAAGUGUGCCCCAUAAAAGAUACACGUGUAC